rnacentral:lncRNA from 1 species
CUCCUUUAAGGAUCUUUCCAAAGGUCUUCAAUUUUGAUAUAAGCAACAAAGAAUAAGAGGGCUAUUAGAUCAGAAAUAUUCCAUGAAGAAGGGAGCAAAGAUUCAUGUCACUGACAACUGGAGAAGAAACAGAGAAAGGGUACUCAUGAUGUGUGACAAAUGGCAUGCCUCCUGCAAGAGUUAUGAGUUAUGUGCCUAAACAGGGAGGAUCAUCUCAUUGCAGAAUUAGGGCAUCAUCCAGUGGGAAGGGAGUUUCAAGGUCAUUUAGUCCAGCCUCCGAGUGAUACAGAAAUUCUCUUUGCAGCAUCCCUAUCACGUGGCCAUCAAACUUCUACUAGUGUAUUCAUCCACACCUGGUCUGUCUAAAACCUUGAGAACAGCCCCUUGUAUAGUUCAAUAGCCCCAGCUGAAGGAAAAGGUUUUGUUAUUUUCAGUAAACAUAUUCUGUUGUAUAA